UUGAGUCUCGUAGAGGGGGGUAGAAUUCCAGGUGUAGCGGUGAAAUGCGUAGAGAUCUGGAGGAAUACCGGUGGCGAAGGCGGCCCCCUGGACGAAGACUGACGCUCAGGUGCGAAAGCGUGGGGAGCAAACAGGAUUAGAUACCCUGGUAGUCCACGCCGUAAACGAUGUCGACUUGGAGGUUGUGCCCUUGAGGCGUGGCUUCCGGAGCUAACGCGUUAAGUCGACCGCCUGGGGAGUACGGCCGCAAGGUUAAAACUCAAAUGAAUUGACGGGGGCCCGCACAAGCGGUGGAGCAUGUGGUUUAAUUCGAUGCAACGCGAAGAACCUUACCUGGUCUUGACAUCCACGGAAGUUUUCAGAGAUGAGAAUGUGCCUUCGGGAACCGUGAGACAGGUGCUGCAUGGCUGUCGUCAGCUCGUGUUGUGAAAUGUUGGGUUAAGUCCCGCAACGAGCGCAACCCUUAUCCUUUGUUGCCAGCGGUCCGGCCGGGAACUCAAAGGAGACUGCCAGUGAUAAACUGGAGGAAGGUGGGGAUGACGUCAAGUCAUCAUGGCCCUUACGACCAGGGCUACACACGUGCUACAAUGGCGCAUACAAAGAGAAGCGACCUCGCGAGAGCAAGCGGACCUCAUAAAGUGCGUCGUAGUCCGGAUUGGAGUCUGCAACUCGACUCCAUGAAGUCGGAAUCGCUAGUAAUCGUGGAUCAGAAUGCCACGGUGAAUACGUUCCCGGGCCUUGUACACACCGCCCGUCACACCAUGGGAGUGGGUUGCAAAAGAAGUAGGUAGCUUAACCUUCGGGAGGGCGCUUACCACUUUGUGAUUCAUGACUGGGGUGAAGUCGUAACAAGGUAACCGUAGGGGAACCUGCGGUUGGAUCACCUCCUUACCUUAAAGAAGC
rnacentral:rRNA from 1 species